rnacentral:rRNA from 1 species
GAUGAACGCUGGCGGCGUGCCUAAUACAUGCAAGUCGAGCGAACGGACGAGAAGCUUGCUUCUCUGAUGUUAGCGGCGGACGGGUGAGUAACACGUGGAUAACCUACCUAUAAGACUGGGGUAACUUCGGGAAACCGGAGCUAAUACCGGAUAAUAUUUUGAACCGCAUGGUUCAAAAGUGAAAGACGGUCUUGCUGUCACUUAUAGAUGGAUCCGCGCUGCAUUAGCUAGUUGGUAAGGUAACGGCUUACCAAGGCAACGAUGCAUAGCCGACCUGAGAGGGUGAUCAGCCACACUGGAACUGAGACACGGUCCAGACUCCUACGGGAGGCAGCAGUAGGGAAUCUUCCGCAAUGGGCGAAAGCCUGACGGAGCAACGCCGCGUGAGUGAUGAAGGUCUUCGGAUCGUAAAACUCUGUUAUUAGGGAAGAACAUAUGUGUAAGUAACUGUGCACAUCUUGACGGUACCUAAUCAGAAAGCCACGGCUAACUACGUG